UACGGGGGGAGCAAGCGUUGUUCGGAUUUACUGGGCGUAAAGGGCGCGUAGGCGGCCACUGCAAGUCGGUUGUGAAAUCUCCGGGCUUAACCCGGAAAGGUCAACCGAUACUGCAGGGCUAGAGUGCGGAAGGGGCAACUGGAAUUCUCGGUGUAGCGGUGAAAUGCGUAGAUAUCAGGAGGAACACCGGUGGUGUAGACGGCUUUCUGGACCGUAACUGACGCUGAGACACGAAAGCGUGGGUAGCAACAGG
rnacentral:rRNA from 1 species